GCCCCUUUUGCUUGUGUUGGUUAGAGCACCAGAUUGUGGAUCUGGGGGUCCCCCGUUCGAGCCGGGGCGGUGGUACCA
rnacentral:tRNA from 1 species